rnacentral:rRNA from 1 species
AUUGAACGCUGGCGGCAGGCCUAACACAUGCAAGUCGAACGAGUGGCGGACGGGUGAGUAAUGUCUGGGAAACUGCCCGAUGGAGGGGGAUAACUACUGGAAACGGUAGCUAAUACCGCAUACAAUCGGAUGUGCGCAGAUGGGAUUAGCUCGGAGGGGGGGUAACGGCUCACCUAGGCGACGAUCCCUAGCUGGUCUGAGAGGAUGACCAGCCACACUGGAACUUAGCCACGUCCCAGACUCCUCCGGGAGGCAGCAGUGGGGAAUAUUGCACAAGGGGGGCAAGCCUGAUGCAGCCAUGCCGCGUGUAUUAAGAAGUCCUUCGGUUUUUAAAGUACUUUCAGCGAGGAGGCGUUACUCGCAGAAGAAGCAUCGGCUAACUCCGUGCCAACAGCCGCGGUAAUAC